CAUGACUGUUUUAAUAACUUACUGGUAUAAAAAUAUUUCAGAACACCGUGUGUCUGUGUGCCAAAAAGCCCUGUCACAUCAAGGCAGGUCUGGAACACGUUCCUCAGCGGGGUGUGUUCCUCUGGUCCUCCUGUGGAGACACUUGCAGAGCUGCUGGUUUCGAGUAGAGCCAGAGCAAAGGAAGGCUCUGCGGCAGAGUUGGGCAUCUGUGCGGGCUGCUCUGCCACUUGGCUCCGUGUCCCCAUCGACCUGGCGGUACUUGAGGUGGCAGUGGCGGGCAGGGGUGCCAUCUGGAGCUCUGGACUGACCCCACAGGUCAAUCACAGCAGAGGCCCUUGGGAUUCUGGAACAAGGCUGUGCCAUCAUCUGCAGACAAUCACUUUCCAUUUGAGAAACAGCUCCUGGCCUGUAAUUAAAAUUGACAAAAUUUAUUUGCU
rnacentral:lncRNA from 1 species